rnacentral:rRNA from 1 species
UGGGGAAUAUUGGACAAUGGGCGCAAGCCUGAUCCAGCAAUGCCGCGUGUGUGAAGAAGGCCUUCGGGUUGUAAAGCACUUUUAUCAGGAGCGAAACGCUGUCGGCUAAUACCCGGCGGAACUGACGGUACCUGAGGAAUAAGCACCGGCUAACUUCGUGCCAGCAGCCGCGGUAAUACGAAGGGUGCAAGCGUUAAUCGGAAUUACUGGGCGUAAAGCGUGCGUAGGCGGUUUCUUAAGUCUGCUGUGAAAUCCCCGGGCUCAACCUGGGAAUGGCAGUGGAUACUGGGAGGCUAGAGUGUGUCAGAGGGUGGUGGAAUUCCCGGUGUAGCGGUGAAAUGCGUAGAGAUCGGGAGGAACAUCAGUGGCGAAGGCGGCCACCUGGGACAACACUGACGCUGAGGCACGAAAGCGUGGGGAGCAAACAGGAUUAGAUACCCUGGUAGUCCACGCCCUAAAACGAUGCGAACUGGAUGUUGGUCUCAACUCGGAGAUCAGUGUCGAAGCUAACGCGUUAAGUUCGCCGCCUGGGGAGUACGGUCGCAAGACUGAAACUCAAAGGAAUUGACGGGGUCAUAGCUGUUUCC